GACGAACGCUGGCGGCGUGCUUAACACAUGCAAGUCGAACGGAAAGGCCCUGCUUUUGUGGGGUGCUCGAGUGGCGAACGGGUGAGUAACACGUGAGUAACCUGCCCUUGACUUUGGGAUAACUUCAGGAAACUGGGGCUAAUACCGGAUAGGAGCUCCUGCUGCAUGGUGGGGGUUGGAAAGUUUCGGCGGUUGGGGCUGGACUCGCGGCUUAUCCGCUUGUUGGUGGGGUAGUGGCUUACCAAGGCUUUGACGGGUAGCCGGCCUGAGAGGGUGACCGGCCACAUUGGGACUGAGAUACGGCCCAGACGCCUACGGGGGGCAGCAGUGGGGAAUAUUGCACAAUGGGCGGAAGCCUGAGGCAGCAACGCCGCGUGCGGGAUGACGGCCUUCGGGUUGUAAACCGCUUUCGCCUGUGACGAAGCGUGAGUGACGGUAAUGGGUAAAGAAGCACCGGCUAACUACGUG
rnacentral:rRNA from 1 species